rnacentral:rRNA from 1 species
GGAAUAUUGGUCAAUGGACGGAAGUCUGAACCAGCCAUGCCGCGUGCAGGAAGACGGCCUUCUGGGUUGUAAACUGCUUUUAUCAGGGAAGAAUAAGCUUCUUGCGAGCGGUGAUGCCGGUACCUGAGGAAUAAGAACCGGCUAACUCCGUGCCAGCAGCCGCGGUAAUACGGAGGGUGCGAGCGUUGUCCGGAUUUAUUGGGGUUAAAGGGUGCGUAGGCGGCCUGUUAAGUCAGUGGUGAAAGGUAUCAGCUCAACUGAUGACGUGCCAUUGAAACUGGCGGGCUUGAGUACAGACGAGGUAGGCGGAAUUUAUGGUGUAGCGGUGAAAUGCAUAGAUACCAUAAAGAACACCGAUAGCGAAGGCAGCUUACUAGGCUGAGACUGACGCUGAGGCACGAGAGCGUGGGGAGCGAAC